AGAUAAAGUAGUUGAGCUAAUAGACAAUAUGAGUCUCUUCUUCCUGAGUCUCAGAAGGAAAUAAUUCUGCAGUAGGAGCCUUGGGAGAGAGAGAGCUAUAAAAACAGGUUCUGCUCUGAUGGGCAGACAUGGGGAGAGAGACUAUAUAAUUUUGUACAUUGAAUGAGGCUAAUUCAAAUAGUGUUAAUUGUCCCUCCACCACCAGUCAAGGUGAUGCCUUGAGACUCAGCACAACUCCGCUGGAUCUCCCCUGCCUGGAAUUGAAAGUGUUAGAAGCUGAAUGAUGUUUCAGGAGAAACAAUGAUCUUUGAUUUAGCUGUGUACUCCAUCCAUCCCAGCAUACCUUGGAGCCAGGGGCAGGAAAGCAAAGAAGGGGACAGUGUUAUUAAUCAUCGUUCCUCAUUUCCUUUCACUGCUGGGAUUUGACAAGGAUUUUAUUUCACCUUGAAAAACUGCACAUAGUGGAGAGUUUCUUCACUUUAUUCCUGCAGUCUUAACAUACCCUACUGAGUAAAGGUAAAUUGCUUUUUAUUCUGUAUUCUGUUAUGUUUUUGAAAAAUGGUUUUCAAAUCACAGAUUUGAU
rnacentral:lncRNA from 1 species